rnacentral:rRNA from 1 species
UCUGGCGGCAGUAGCGCGGUGGUCCCACCUGACCCCAUGCCGAACUCAGAAGUGAAACGCCGUAGCGCCGAUGUUAGUGUGGGGUCUCCCCAUGCGAGAGUAGGGAACUGCCAGAC